rnacentral:rRNA from 1 species
UACGAACUGUGCGAACGUUAUUCGGAAUCACUGGGCUUACAGGGUGCGUAGGCGGUUUGUCGCGUCGGGAGUGAAAUCAUCUGGCUUAACUGGGUGCUUGCUUUCGAUACGGGCAGACUAGAGGUAUGCAGGGGAGAACGGAAUUCCUGGUGUAGCGGUGAAAUGCGCAGAUAUCAGGAGGAACACCGGUGGCGAAGGCGGUUCUCUGGGCACUUACUGACGCUGAGGAGCGAAAGCGUGGGGAGCGAACAGG